GAAGUCGCGGGCACAGCUAGUGAUAUUAAUAAAAUCAUUCUGCGUGCGAGUUCUUUUCUAUCGGGGCACAUUUAUGACGUCAGAAGGCUUCUUAUUUAAGUUGAGCCUCAGUUUUGAAUUAAUGAGCUUAAUAGCUAAAUUUAGGGUCAAAUCGGAUGUCGCCACUUUGUCGGUUGCUAUUAACAGACGGACUAAUUUGGUUGAAAAUAAAAGAAAUGAAAAUAUAUUUUAUUGCACACCAAAUAUACACGGAAAAAAAUAAAAAAUGGAUGCCGAUAAAUGAUUAUAAACGUACCUAACAAAUGAGGUAUGUAUGUAGUACCAAAUAGUUAGUGCCAUGGAUUAUUUCGUUAUCCUUGCUACUUAACAAACUUUUAAACGGUCCUUCGAGUUCACAAACGUUUUUUACGACUUCAUUUCCGCGAUCAGCUGUUUGCAGGGUUGUUACAUUGGAGUUUGAUUCUUUAAGUCCUUAUAUUUAUCUUCCACGGAUAUCAUGUUACGAGACUCGUUGUUUUUUGGUACAUCUACAAAUCGGUCUUGACCUGAACUCGCCGGGAUUUUACGGACAUUAAUUACUGACCUUGUGCAGAUUCAUGGCUAGGACCUAACGAACCACAUUGGUUCGUCUGUUAAAACUAGAUGACUAGAUAAUAAUGUUUACCCGCUGCAAGGUAACUUUCACGAGUGAGCUAUGUAUUAUAGACAGUUGAAACUCUGCCUCCCCCCCUCCCCUGUAUUUUAAGCUAGAGUAACACUAUAACGCAAAAAUGCGCAUUAAUUUUCACAUUUUACCCUAUUUUUAAAAAAGUU